UAAAGCAUAGUGGUAAGAAGAAAAAUAUUUGGCCGUUAACCAAAAGAUACUUAGGGGUAAUGGGGUUGCUUUAU
rnacentral:tRNA from 1 species